rnacentral:rRNA from 1 species
UGCGGUUAAACAAAUAAUACUAUUAUUUUUUUUCGGUUUGAUAUUUAAUUAAUAAAAAUUAAUUUUUACUUCAUUAGAAUAUUGGGUGAAAUCUUAUUCUAUAGGUAGCUGAGGUUUUUGAUUAUGAGGUUGAGAAAUCUGGAUAAUAAACUGGGAUUAGAUACCCCAUUAUUCUAGAUGUUGAAAACCAAACCUGAUAAAUACAAGUUAUGUUCUUUAAAAUCAAAAAAUUUGGCGGUUUUUUAUUCCAAUCAGGGGAAUCUGUCCUGUAAUCGAUAAUCCACGAUUAAUAAAACUUUUAUUUUGUUUGUAUAUCGUCGUUGUUAAUUAUUUUUAGAAAUAUAUAAUUUUAGUAUUUGAUUAUAUAAAAAAUCAGAUCAAGGUGCAGCUUAUAUGAGUAGAGAUGGAUUACAAUAAAUUUAUUUAAGAAUAAGUUCCAGCAUUGUAGCUUUGAAUCUGGAUUUGAAUGUAAUUUUAAUUGUUAAUUGAAAUGAAUUGGGCUCUAGAAUGUGU